GCUUCCUUAGCUCAGUCGGUAGAGCGCGAGUCUCAUAUCACUAUGAUACGAGCGAUGGUGCGUCGUUCAAUCUCGAGGUCGCAAGUUCGAGCCUUGCAGGGAGCA